rnacentral:rRNA from 1 species
UACGGAGGGUGCAAGCGUUAUACGGAAUCAAUGGGCUUAAAGGGAGCGAAGGCUGCUGCAUAAGUCAGGUGUGAAAGUUUGUCGCUUAACGAUAGAAUUGCCUUUGAUACUGUGCGGCUUGAUAUUAGGUGAGGUUGGCGGAAUGUGACAUGUAGCGGUGAAAUGCGUAGAUAUGUCAUAGAACACCGAUUGCGAAGGCAGCUGGCUAACCUAGAUUUGACGCUGAGGCACGAAAGCGUGGGUAGCAAACAGG